rnacentral:rRNA from 1 species
GACCAGACUCCUACGGGAGGCAGCAGUGAGGAAUAUUGGUCAAUGGGCGCGAGCCUGAACCAGCCAAGUCGCGUGAGGGAAGACGGUCCUAUGGAUUGUAAACCUCUUUUGUCGGGGAGCAAAAGACGCCACGCGUGGCGUUCCGAGAGUACCCGAAGAAAAAGCAUCGGCUAACUCCGUGCCAGCAGCCGCGGUAAUACGGAGGAUGCGAGCGUUAUCCGGAUUUAUUGGGUUUAAAGGGUGAGCAGGCGGAAUUUCAAGUCAGCGGUAAAAUUGAGGGGCUCAACCCCGGCGAGCCGUUGAAACUUGUGUUCUUGAGUGAGUGAGAAGGAUGCGGAAUGCGUGGUGUAGCGGUGAAAUGCAUAGAUAUCACGCAGAACUCCGAUUGCGAAGGCAGCAUACCGGCGCGCAACUGACG